AUGUUCUUCCUAUUUCAGAAGCACCGCCGAGACAGAACUCUUUGGAUAUCCGAGAAUGCUCGGGCUGCACCGACUGACUUCAAGUAUAAUGGUCUAUUGGAUGAUAUUCGAAGCAUCGAUUCACUUCUUCUCGAUCUAUCAACACUAAGAGUUGCAACAAAUAACUUCGGUGAAGGAAAUAUGCUUGGUAAAGGAGGUUUUGGGAUGGUUCAUAAGGGAGUCCUACCUGACGAUUCUGAGAAACGCAAAGACCUAGAUUGGGGAAGGAAAUUCAAGAUUAUCAGUGGGAUUGCUAGGGGACUGCAGUAUCCUCAUGAAGAGUCCCAGUUGAAGAUAGUUCACCAUGACCUGAAAGCGAGCAAUAUUCUAUUGGACUUGGAUUACAACCCUUAG
rnacentral:rRNA from 1 species